UAAGUUAUUUACUUAAUUUUAGUAAAUUUAUAGUUGUAAAAAUUACAUGACGUAUACUAGCUAAACUUGUAAAAAUAAAUGAUACAUUUAAAUUUUAAAGUCAAAGUACCGUUGUCUAACUCAAAUUAAAUAAAUUAAAAGGUUGGAUAGUAAAAUUAAAAAGCAAUUGCUUAUAUAUUCCUGAAAAGUUUCCGACUUUCAUAUUUACUCCUGAAAAGUUUCAAAAACUUUCAAAUGUACCUCUAGAGUUAAAUUUUGCUAGUGAACUGUUAGGAACAGUCGUUAUUUUUGUAAAAUUAUCAUUUUGCACUUUCAAAUAUACCUUUCUACUGUCAACAAUUUUUCUCAUUUGCCUUUAAGUUAGGGGUAAAAGAAAUAUAUUGAUUUUUUGUCUUUUCAAAUAUACCCUUCUAUCGUCACCAACAUUUUUUAUUUGCCCUUAAUUAGGGGUAAAAUAGAUAGUUUUAAUAUUUUUUAAACUAUGGUUGAAAUUUAACUCAAAUUUAAUCUAAAAUGACUUAACGGGAACUAACUGCUGGGGUAUUUUUGAAUAACGGAGAAAUAUAUGAGGAAUAUAUUUGAAACAAAAAAAAAAGAAAUAAAUGAGAUAUUUCAGAGAUUUUGAGGGGUAUAUACGCAAUUAUCCCUAAAAUGAAAAUGUUUUCAUAAUCCAAGUAGUUUCUAUACAUUUUUACCUACUAAUAAUCAAUUUCCCAAACCGACCGUCCCUAGCGCAAGUUGCAAAGGACUUGGUGGUUGGUACCCGAGAUCCCAAGUUCAAAUCCUAAUUGAUUCACAUUUUCAGCUAAAUUUAUUUCUAAAUAAAAUAAACGAAGCCGGUAUCAUACUACCUAUCUCUCAAAAAAAAAAAAAAAAAUCAAUUUCCCAAAACUUUUCACAGAUGCCAGAACUGGUGAAUAUCUUGACACUAUUUUAUUGGAUAACUUCAUCAGGCAUCCAAAUAGGUCACAAUGCAUCAGAGAAAGGGGCUAGGGUUUGAUUCUGGUGGAUGGAAAGUGUAAGAGAUCAAGCUCAAGAUUCUUAACCACAAAAANCCAAACAAAAAUUUAAUAGAUGUAUAUAUUUUCAACUGCACUGCAAUUGAAAAUGCAUACAAUCAAGCAGUCCCAAACUGCAGCACGCUUAAAACCUAGCCACCAUUCAAAAUAUUAUAGCUGGAUUAAGAAAUUCAGUCCUACUUUAUCUUAUAUAUAUAACUAUUCCAAAUUCUAGGAAUGUUAUAUAGCGCUUAUCUGACCUAACAUUUAAGACAGCUUCUCUAUUCAGAGAAGCAAUAUUCAGUUACUCUUCGAACA
rnacentral:lncRNA from 1 species